AAAACAGGGCUGGGGAUGUGACUCAGUGCUAGAGUGCCCCUAAAUUCAAUCCCUGGUACCCUCUGUCAGGUCUGUGGCAAUUACUGAGGAACAAAGAACCAAGGAGCCUUAGCAUGGGAAAGAAACACCUGUCAAUCAGCAGAGUCUUCUGGCCAAUCCUGGAUUUCAUCCAGUUCCACCAACCAACUUUGCCGGGAUAAGGGACUCUAAAAACACCUUUUCCUGUCCCAAGCCCUUCCCUUCCUGCCAUAAGUCCCAUAAACUUCCAGUCCCAGGGAGCUCCCAUGGGUUUUCUCCUCUGACCCUUCUCCUCUUCACUCUGUCUGUUCAAGUUCUGCCCUGGAGCAACAUCUCAAAUAAAGCCUCAUUCAGCGGCCUUUUAAAAUCUAUCUCCUUUGGUCAACAUCCAUUGCUGGACCUCACACCCUCCCCUACCAAACAAAAUAAAAUAAAAACACAAAGCAUUGAGAGGGCCUGCUGGGGGUGUUAACUCCAUGUGAUUUCUGCCCAGUCCUCUGAAUGUCAAAGUGAAGAAAUUCAGUGAAGCGUGGUUAAACAGAGGGAGUAACUAUGAUUCUCUUAAGGCCCUCAAAUGCCUCCUCUUCUAAUUAGUGAUGAAUGAAUAGAUGAAAAAGAUUCCCACUUUCCCUAUAUACUAUCCAGCAAAACCACAGCCAAAGAAAUGGGCUCUGCAGACCCAGUGAGGAAAGAACUAUAGAAACAAAGAACCAGAAAGAAGCCCAGCUUGUCCCCCCCAUGCUCCCCAAAGGGCUCUAUUUUUUCUUCCUCAGCCAGAGCUGGAAGUCCAAAGAACAACAACAACAAAACAAACAAAAAUAACAACAACAACAAAAAAACAUGAUGGCCAGCAGUGGAGAGAACAGCACAGCCAUGAUAGAGCUUAAAGGAGCUUAGGGUGCCAGAUCCCCUGGGUUGGUUUCUUUGGAACCUUCAACAAAGAAACUAAAGAAACACCAAUCCACCCUGCCCCCAAAGAAAAGAAAAUGAACCACAGUAGAUGCAUUCCAUUUUUCCCCCUUAAUAGACUAUCUAGUACCACAGAUUUUGAACUCAGAGCUCUUCUGCUGAAAGAAAAUGAUAAAGUUUGGUUUAGUGACACAAGCCUGUCACUGGAGGAAAGAUCACUUGUGAGGAAUUUGUGACCCAACCACAUAGAGACCCCAGUUUACAAACAAGCCAGCAUGCCAGCUUAAAGUUCAAAGGAAGAUCAGAUUGUUUUUAAUGACUUGAAGGCUUAUUCUGUCAUGUAUUACUCUUCAUCUCUGAUCAGUUCUUGGGAGACCCAAAGUAUCAGGAGGUGGGGGUGUGGUUAUCACUUAAUGGUAGAGUACUUGCCUAGCACAUGUGAGGCACUGGGUUUGAUUUUCAGCACCAUGUAAAAAUAAAUAAGACAAAAUUAUUGUGUCCAUGUGAUAGUAGGAGCAAAUGUGACUCCAUUUUGUUUUAUGAUUUCAUCCUGUAAAACAACCAUGCCAAGUAGAAGAGCCAUGACUGGGGCAAGAUGUUCUUUUCCUUUUGCUAUAGAAAUCUUUAAGAACACAAAACUACCUAAUGGGGUAUUGUUUCUGUAACUAGGGUAAUGGGGCUCUGUUUCUGUAACUGGGGUGACUGGGCUAACUGUGAUUGGUUAGGCUUCCCUCCACUUGACUGCACUCUCCCACUUCUGUAACCUGGUUUGCUUGCAUUGCCUAGACCCCCUGAACAUCCCUUUUGCAGUUUUCAGGCUUAUAAGGAGUGCCCUUGCAAUAGGUUGGGGCUGAUCAGGAGAACAGCUUUAUGUUCUGGUCAGCCGCCACCAGUGUGCUUCAAUAAAGGCUUGAUUUGAUUAUAUGUGAGUGGUCUGGAAGUCAGUUUAUGAAACCCUUGGAGGAAUCUUUAACUAUAACAUCCAUCUCUAACUAAAAAUAAAUAAAUGAAUAAAUAAAUAAUUUAAGGUUUGAGGAGGUGGGAGAUGGACCCUUAGAGUUGCAUAAGAGGGGAUGGGAAGGUAGCUCAGUGGUACAGCUACUUAAAAUAGGCUAGA
rnacentral:lncRNA from 1 species